AAUUGAAAAGUCUCUAGGGUCUUUGUUUUUCCUAUUUUCUUUGUCAAAAGUGUAUAGGGUCUUUUAAAACAUUUGAGGUUUUACAAGUCUUACGUGUUUCAUUAUGUAAUAGCACUAACCAUUUAUAUAUACAUUUUUGCAGUCACUUUGUGAAAUAAAUCCUGGAGUUGAGAUUUAUUUACAGUCGCUACCACUGGCAUUUAAUAAUUGUUUUUGAUAAUUAGAAAGAAAAUCUUCUAAUUAAAUAUUUGACAUUUAACAAUCUUCCCAAAAUCUUUCUACCUUAACUACACAAUUAAUUACUAAAAUAAAACUUCCAAAAUAUUUAAUAUCAUUUAAUUACUACAAAAUUAUCAUUUUUGAUAUUGCUUUUCGACAUGAUUAUAAUCAUCAAGCCGCAUAGAUAUUUGAUAGCAUUUAAUUACUACAAAAUUACAAAAUAUUUAGACAAUAAUUCAUAAACAUAUCAUAAAUAAGAUCAACAUUAAUAAAAUAAAUGAGUUUUUUUUACAGGACGAGUUGGCGGGACGGGUUUGGCAGGACGUUACUUAAUAACAAUUGUAAACUAUAAAAUAAAACAUUUUAUAGAUAGAUACAAUUUGCAAACUUUUAUAAUAUUU
rnacentral:sRNA from 1 species